rnacentral:misc_RNA from 1 species
GAAAUGCGAUAAGUAAUGUGAAUUGCAGAAUUCAGUGAAUCAUCGAAUCUUUGAACGCACAUUGCGCCCGUCAGCAUUCUGGCGGGCAUGCCUGUUCGAGCGUCAUUUCAACCCUCAGGACCCCCCUUUCGCGGGGAGGGACCUGGCGUUGGGGAUCGGCCCGCCCCCCGCGGCGGCGCCGUCCCCGAAAUCUAGUGGCGGUCUCGCUGCAGCCUCCCCUGCGUAGUAGUUACAACCUCGCAUCGGAGCGCGGCGCGGCCACGCCGUAAAACCCCCGACUUUCUGAACGUUGACCUCGGAUCAGGUAGGAAUACCCGCUGAACUUAAGC